GAGAAAAACAAGGGCUCACCCUUGUUCUCACCAAAUUCACCAAAUUGACAAAGGAAAAUCGAUGAUUAUCAAUUGCAUGUGGUAGAAUUUCGAUCAGUUACCCAUAUCCAAUCAAGUGGCGUGAAGGAAGAAGGCUCAAGUGCUAAGAAAACGGAAGGUUCACAAGAUCGAGGUAAAUCCUCGACUUAGGUGAUUGGACGACUUGGAAUGUGCACACAUGGUUUACGCCCGCUUCUCGCUUCCGUUGUUAAGUCCUUUUUGAAUGGUCUAAGUCUUGGUCUUAUGUAAUCGAGUCUAGUUAGUAUGUUGUCAUCUUUGUCGUAGGGUAAAAUUUGGUAGAUGGAAAUCAUGUCGUGACUAAUGUGGACUUGUUUGUUCGUUUUGGGAUUUUGUCAAAGAUGUUUAAUGUUUUAA